UAUGAAGCGAUUCCCAGAAAAUUUGUGGACAAAUUCUCGGGAACUACUGGAAAAAAAUCACGUGGAACUCUAAGAGAAAAUCUCGAGGACUUCUGGAGAAAUUGCGUGGAAACUCGAAACAAUUUCAAAGGAUGCCUGAAGAGCUCUUCAGGCUAGGCUUAUUCUCGGGAAUCUUCUGGUGAACUGAGGAAAUUUUCUGGUAGCUCCUGGAGGAAGUUUUGUGAAUAUUCUGGAAAAAUUCCCAGAGUAAUUAUACUAGUAUUCCCUGCCAGACUUUUUUUUUAGAAUUUAUUAUGUUGAAUUAUAGUCGGUAACCUGCAACGGCUAUGCUCUAUUUUAAAAGGCAUUGACACACUUCAGGGAAUCAGAAAUAUUUAUUAUAUUAAGUGACACAAUAGCCGAUAGCUUUGUAACCGAUACAAUAUAGCUAUAUACGGCAAUACAGAUCUCAUUAUAGAAAAAGACAGGAAUAUCAAAAACUUAACCAUCACCCGAACAUAUUGUCGGGACUAACAACAUUCAUUUGACAUUUUUGUGUCGAUCGCUGUGUUGCGCUUGUGUUGCAAAUGUCGGAGACAAAGGCUGCCGAAUGUUAACGAAAACGUGUCAAAGACUGUGAUCGCUAACAACUCUGAGCUGGACAGUUCAAUCGAAACGUAGACGUAUCUUUGCGGUGAUCAGUUUAAUAAGUUUUCCGGUGUGGUCGAUGCAGCCGUGUGUCGUAAUGAGGACGAAAAUCAGAUGAAUCAAUGAGAACUAGCAUUUCUGGAGAAAUUGUUGUACGGUGAAGAUUUGAUCCGUUGUCGUUGAAAACUUCACACAAACUCAGUCGCUUUAGGUGAUAGACGAUGGAUAAUAAUGUGGAUAAGCAUUUUUAGGCGGCACUCAAAAUAACAGUAUAUCUGAACUGUUGAAUAUUAUCACUGAUGUGUAUGAAAGCCCUUUAAUGCAAAUGAACUAAACUAUCACACUAUCUAAUCCAAUUGAACUGUCCCGUUUUGACUUACACCAACUGUAUACGGAAAGCUCCUCCACAACUGGCUAUCUUUCAAUCUCUUCUUUCAUAAUUUCCCAUUCGUAGCAAAUUCUAAUCUAAUGUCCUUCUUUUUUGCCACCAGCUUGGAGUGCUUCAUGUCAGAAGGUGCAGCCACAUUCGACGAGUGCUAUCUUACUGUGUAGUGCUUUCAAAAUCUUUUUGCCCUGUAAACUUCACCUGACUUGACUUGCUAUUUUGAAGUGGUUUAUCUUUCUGGAAACAGUUGCCAUAAGGAUAUGCUGUUUGUUGAAAUGAGCUUUCUUGGAACUGUUUUUUUUUUUUUUCAUUUUCACGUUUUGCACUAUGGAAACAGCUCUCUCUAUAAUUGCAGCACGGCGAUAAUAAAUUCAAGUAUUUUCUUUUAUUGGUAACAAAAUUUGGUAAAUGCAAUUAGUAAGUGAUUAGAACAAAGAACGAACGAUAAAAACGAAGCCCCAUCCGUAUUCAACUAUUUUAUGAAAAUUAGCAUUGCCUCAAUAAUUUAAUGAUUUAAUCAUCUCAUUUUACAAGAAUCCCUAACAAGUUCUCGCAGUGUAUACCUGGCACAAGAGGGGGGUUUUCCAUCAUCAUAUCAUGUAAACCAGCUACUUGAAAUUCAGCAACCUGCUUUACAUUUGCUCCGGCACGUACCGUUAGGCACUGAUAAGGGCGCGUGGGCCCACCAGGUGUCAUACCGGAAGAUUCAAUUUCCAUUGUAAAUUGCGCCCCAGCAUUCGUAACGCCGAUUUCAAGAUUUUAGUGCCGUCUUCUGUCUAUGAUCUGUUGUCUAUGCACAAAGGUGUAUAAAUAAACAAUGAUGAUGGAGAGUUGACUUAUUCAGUGUGGGCGUUAGUGCCAGAUCUAGAUUAGAUUGUUUCGCCAUGAGGAUAACGUGGAUGCUGCUACUGUUGGGUCAGGCGGUCUUGGGACAGCAAGGAAGCGAUUUUUGUUUGAAAGGAUUUCGAAAAGUGCUCGAGUAUGAUAGGUGUGACUACUUUGCAUUUGGGCCCCUUUUCAUGAGCUCUUAUUGUGACUGGCAACAUCAGUUGGAGUACGGUAUUACAAAAACAUUUUGCUGUGGAGGAAUUUGUGCAUACUGCUUUCAGCAGAUCGAUAACAUUGAUGGCAGCAGCAGUAGCGACAGUAGUGGAAGUACUGUGUUAGCUGAUAUAAACCCAACCACGUUUUAUCCUUAUGAUAUCGGACGAGAUUUUACUAAUUCAGAUGAACAAUCUGAGUUUGGAGAAAUGAUUUUUAUAAGGAUGAAACGAAUGAUGGAAGAAUUUUUAUAUGCAGAGAAUAAAACUGAACAAGCUCUCACAUAAACAGCUAGUAAAAGUUAUAUUACUUUACAUUUGUUGGAAUUCAAAAAAACUUUUGGACUCAUCGAUGAAAUAAGGUUAAAUAAAUCAACAAACUGGUUAUGACAAUAUAUCAGAAAACAAG